rnacentral:rRNA from 1 species
UACAGAGGGUGCAAGCGUUAAUCGGAAUUACUGGGCGUAAAGCGUGCGUAGACGGUUAUCUAAGUCGGAUGUGAAAGCCCCGGGCUCAACCUGGGAAUUGCAUUCGAGACUGAAUAGCUAGGGUGCGGUAGAGGGAAGCGGAAUUUCCGGUGUAGCGGUGAAAUGCGUAGAUAUCGGAAGGAACAUCAGUGGCGAAGGCGGUGAUCUGGGCCGGCACUGACGCUGAGGAGCGAAAGCGUGGGUAGCAAACAGG